GGAUUAUUUCAUAUCAAGGCAAUUCCGAUGCCUGCAACUAACUUCCGUUCAUUACCAACAUCAUGGUGAUAUGAACAAUCAUCAAUGUACACCCACGGUAGUAGUCGACAGUAUUCCUCGUCAUAAACUUGUUAAGGGGAUAGCAAUUUCUCUUCUAGGAAGUCAUAUCCGGUGUCAUUAUCCUCGAGAGAUGGAGCAGUACAGUCAUGUAAUUCUGCUAAACCUUGGGCAACUAG